rnacentral:rRNA from 1 species
UAGAGUUUGAUCCUAGCUCAGGAUGAACGCUGGCGGCGUGGAUAAGGCAUGCAAGUCGAACGGACUUCAUUUUUCCAGAGAUGCGAUUAUAUCAAGUCAAAGGUCGUUUGAAGUUAGUGGCGAACGAGGUAGUAAUACAUAGGAACUUCCCUCAAAGUCGUGAAUAAUUCGUCGAAAGACGGACUAAUACACGAUAGUCCCUCAGGGGUAAAGUUUUAACGCUUUGAGAAAGGCCUAUGCGAUAUCAGCUAGUUGGUAGUGUAAUGGACUACCAAGGCUAUGACGUCUAGGGGAGGUGAGAGCCUGACCCCCACCGAUGGUACUGAGACACGGACCAUACACCUACGGGUGGCUGCAGUCGAGAAUCUUCCACAAUGGACGAAAGUCUGAUGGAGCGACGCCGCGUGAUUGAUGAAGUCCCUUUGGGACGUAAAGAUCUUUUAUGAGGGAAGAAGUUUAUUGACUGUACCUCAUGAAUAAGAGGCUCCUAAUCUCGUGCCAGCAGGAGCGGUAAUACGAGAGCCUCGAGCGUUAUCCGGAAUUAUUGGGCGUAAAGGGUGUGUAGGUGGUUUUGUUAGUCUUUUGUUAAAGUCCCGAGCUUAACUUGGGGAGGGCGAAAGAUACGGCAAAACUAGAAAGUGCGAGAGGUGUACGGAACUCAUGGUGUAGGGGUGAAAUCCGUUGAUAUCAUGGGGAACACCAAAAGCGAAAGCAGUACACUAGCGCAUAUUUGACACUGAAACACGAAAGCGUGGGUAGCGAAUGGGAUUAGAUACCCCAGUAGUCCACGCCCUAAACGAUGAUCUCUCGCUAUUCGGAGUAUCGACCCUCUGAGUGGCUUAGCUAACGCGUUAAGAGAUCCGCCUGGGAAGUACGGCCGCAAGGCUAAAACUCAAAGGAAUAGACGGGGACUUGCACAAGCAGUGGAUUAUGUGGUUUAAUUCGAUGGUAAACGAAGAACCUUACCAAGCUCGCAGAAACGCGAGGCCUCGCAAGACUCUAGGACAGGUGAUGCAUGGCCGUCGUCAGUUCGUGGUUUGAAUUGUUCCCUUAAGUGGGGUAACGAACGCAACCCUCGUUGUGUGUUACAAGUGUCGGGAGGAAGGAGAGGAUGACGCCAGGUCAGCAUGUCCCUUGAUACCUUGGGCUACACACAUAAUACAAUGGCCACUACAACGCGCAGCGACGAGGCGACUCUGAGCUAAUCGUCCAAAAGUGGCCCCAGUUCGGAUUGGAGUCUGCAACUCGACUCCAUGAAGUUGGAAUUGCUAGUAAUCACAGGUCAGCUAAACUGUGGUGAAUACGUUCUCAAGUCUUGUACUCACCGCCCGUCAAGUCAAGGGAGCCGGGAGUACCCGAAGUCUCUACAUAAGUAGGGCCUAAGGCAAGCUCGGUGACAGGGACUAAGUCGUAACAAGGCACGGCUAGCGGAAGCUGGUCGUGGAAUAA